rnacentral:lncRNA from 1 species
GCCCAGGGGGUCUGUAGGUAAAUGAGAUUUACUCUAUUUAUUAUCAAACCCAUUCGUAAGAGGAUUAGGAUUUUCCACGAAGACGAUUUACUCUCUUUGUGAAACUUGUAGCCCAAACCAUCCCGAUCCUCAACUGUAGGGUGUCAACGGUCCGGAUUGGUAUGAAUUCAAAAACCGAAUUAAAAAUCUACAGUUCAAGAAAAUACAAUCCGUAUACAGACCAAAAAUCUACGGUUCGAUUUUGAAAAAAUUAAAAAAUUCACGGUUCAGAUCACGGUUAAUUUACGGGUUGUUACAUUCCAUGAAAUUUUAAAAAAUAUUACAUGGUAGUACCAUAACAAGUUGCAGUAGCCGAUUAAAAAAGAAACAAGUAGCAAUUAAACAAAGAUUGAAAGACCAUAAAUUAAUUGAAACCUUGAUGCAUGUAGAUGGCCCUCAUAAACCAUAAAUUAAUUUGAAAUUACACUUAUCACCCUAAUUUCUAUUUAUACCACAUUGGGUCAAUUUUUAUAGGGUAAUAAGUAACAAUAAUAAUGUUGAACAAUUUAAUUUAAAAUUCUAUCCUAAUAUUAUAUAUUAUAUAUAUCUCUUCUUUAUUUUAAAUCUCACACGGUUCGAUUCGGUUAAUCCACGUUCCCCCGUUUAGGAAACUCAUGGAUCGAACCACCGAAUUCCGUUUUUCGAAUUUUUCAAUCCGUGUCCAGACCAUUAAUCUACAUACCCAAUACAAAAAAACUAUGGAUUGAUUGGUCGGUUCGGUUUUUCUCGCGGUUCGCGGGUAUUUUUUGACAGCCCUAAGUUCAAGGGCAUCUUUCACUGCGCUACAAGCCUCAGGACUUUCAAAUUUUUUUUUCAAAACACACACAUUAAAAUAAAUAAUUAUUCUCUAUUUUUUUAAAAAAAUAUUAUUAAUUAUAAAAUUUAUUUUUUAAAUAUGUUUAGUUAUAAACACUUAAAAAGUAAAAUAUCUAGAUUAUUUUUUUAAAAAAAUUAUUGAUUACAAAGUUUUAUUUAUUUUAAUGGGUGUAUUGAGAAAUAUUUUUUAAAAUCCUAAAUCAAAGAGCAACUUUGUAAUUUUUACACAAAAAUUAGUUACAGAUGAAUCUUGACAUUUGUUUCAAAAAUAAAAGAGAUUUGUAUUAUUUUUGAAAUUACAAGAAAAGUAGUUGUAUUUGUCGGUAAAGGUCUUUAAUAAGUAUUCGAUCCUUUUGUUUUAGAGUGAUUCCUAAAUAAAAUCAUCCCAGAAAGUCAAUGAACAAGAAGAAGAACAACAAGUCAGAUUCCACAGAUCCACAAACUGGUUUAUUUUUCAUAAAACUUGGAAACAGAAAAACAAAAUGCUUUCAGCUUAUUAUACCAAUUUCUGAAGCAACAAACUCUAGGGAAAAACACACACUAAAUCCUACGCCCUAAUUCUUCUUUCAAAUCAUAAAAUCCUAACUUAAUUUUCCUAUGCAUCAUGCAUUGGAGUCCCCAAGAGCGAAAUUGUCCCUCAAAAGUUGCAGGAUGAGAAUGCUGUCGUUGUGAAACUUAUGACCUAAAGCAUCACGCUCCUCAACGGCAUCUUCAAGGGCCCUCAUCGCCACGCUACAGCCUUCAAAAUCCUGAUCAAUCUCGUAACAGAAAAUGGAAAAGUUUAAGCGCCAGCCCCCAACCUGACAUGUUUGCGGUGAAAAUCGGCACGAGCAAUUUUUUCCCUCCGCAACUUGUAGGCCCACACACUCGCGUCCUCGCAGCAUUCCUCUCCUCUCUAAACCGACCUUGAACUCUGCAGUACCGGUGAUAAUCCCCCUUCGUCUUCAAGUAGACGAUCUCGACUCGCUCGUAGAGGCUGGAGGGGCUCAGAGAGAUAGUGAGAGAGAGAGAGGAAGAGAGAGGGAGGACAGAUAAGUGAGAGAGAUUAGCUGAGAGAGAUGAGAGAGAGAUAGGGAGGACAAUAAAGUGAGAGAGAUUAGCUGAGAGAGAGAGAGACAUGGACUGAGAGGGAGAAAGAAAGAAAGAUUGGUGGGGAUGUAGUGAGAAAUGAGAAAGAGUAUAGAGAGUAGGACGAUAUUUUUUUUGGUCAAAAGGAACAUUGGUGAGUGAUUCUAUUUGGACCCAAGGAAUUGCUUUUCACCCCCAAUUUUUAAUUUGAAUAAAUUUUACUUGUCUCUUAUGAGAUUUUUGACAAUUAUAAUCAAUUCCUUAUAAUUUUAAAAAUAACACUUAUAUUUCUUACUUUUAAAAUUAUUAUCAAUAUUCUUCGCUAUAGCUAAUUGUUUGACAAAAAUGACCAGAUUUGCCCUUCAAUUUAAGUAAUUCAAAUUUCUUUUCUUAUUAUAAAAAUUAAAAUGAAUAAAAUAUAUUUUUUUUCAAAACACCAUUUAUUUAUAAACUACUCUAUUUUUAAUUUUUAUUAAUAAGUAUUUUUUUUUAAACAAUAGAUCUAAAUUGUUUACUUUGUAAGUACUUGUAAUUAAUGCAUACUUAAAAAAAAAUUCUUUAUUUCUAAAUUCAUUACAAAAAUAAGAAUACUUUUGGAAAAAAAAUAUAAAAGAUAAAAAAUAAGGAUGAUCUUGUCAUUUUGUCAAUAAAUUAACUCUAGAGAAAAUCAUGAUAAUAGUUUUAAAAAUAAGAAAGAUUGGUGCAAUUUCAAAAUAUAUAAAAAAUAUGCUGCAUUUGUCAUAAACUUUAAGGGAGUUCGGUGAAAUUUACCAAAAUAAAAAUGGGGCAAGAGAGAAACUUUUUAGGUCUAAAUAGAAUUACCCAACUUUAACAUUAGAUAUUUGUGACAUGAACCAAUUAUAUUAAAUAUUAGUCACCAUGAACAUUAGUUAGAUGAGUCUCCCCUAAAAUAAUUUAAUUGGCAUUUAAUUUGGGAUGGGAUCGGAUGAGUUCUCCAAUCCAAGAACAAGAGGAAUGGGUCAGUCACCCCAGUGCCUUCAUGCAUAGUAUCAGAACCGAACCGGGUGAUGAAACGGUCAAGGCAUAGUAAUGGUUCAGGGUCAACCGUUGGUUCAACCGGUUGGUAUAUAAUAAAUAAAUAAUAAAAAAUAAUUUAAAAUAAAAAGAUUAUUAAAAAAUUAUAAAUGGAUAAAGAACUCUUUUUUAUACAAUAAUUAACAUAAGUAUAAAUAAUAAAUACCUAUAAAAGAAGUACAAAAAAUAUAUAAUUAUAAAAAUAUUUAAGAUGAUUUUUUCUUUUCAAUUUAAUAUUUGAAAAACUAUUACUUAUUGGUAUUUUUAUUAUUUAAAAGAAAAAACAUAAAAUUUGUCAAUAAUGGCCAUUAUUAAGAUAAUAAUGUGCAUUAUUUGUGUUUGUCCUUUAUUUUUUUCAUUUUUCUCCUAUACUUUUUAUUUUUAAUUUUUAUUUUUUAUUGUAUUUUUAUUUUUACAUUAGAUUAUUUUUUGAUAAUAAGUAUCUCGAUAUAUCUAAUUAUCAUACAAUAAAUAUUUAAAGAGUAGUGAUUUGUACAUUUUUUUAAUUGCACUUCAAUUUUUUUAUUUUUAUUAAAAAUGAGUUUAAAAAAAGUACUAGCUAAAUAAAAUACCAAAAUCUAAACCAACAAAACACAAAAAUUAAAAAUUAAAAACCAUAGGCCACUAAAUAUUUGUGUUUUUUAAAAAUAUUGUGUUUUUUUAUUACUUUUUCAAAAACCGGCUGGUUCACUAAAUACCGGCGGUUCAAUAUGGUUUUUGGAAAAUACCGGCCGGUUCGGCCGGUUAAUCCGGAUUCAUAUGCAUUUUCGUAUUUUAAUUAACAGUCCCGGUUCACUGUCCGGUUCCCGGUCAAACGGUGAACCGGCGGUUCGGUUCGAUUUUGAUAACUAGGCCUUCAUGCUUUAACAAAUACAACAUAUAUUAUGUAAGUUUUAAAAAUAUUAUUAAACUAUUUUACUUUUGAAAACUACAUAUUAAAAAUGUGAGCUUAUACUACUAAAAGUGUUAAACUGUAAGUAAUAAGUUAUCAAAUACAUUAUUAAGAACAAUUCUUUUUUAAUUAUUUAAUUUAAAAUUUAUAUUCACGCGUAUCCAAACCAUGGGUAUGUUUUUUCUUGGUCACGGAAAGUGAUGAACUGAUGGUUAUUAAAAGGGAAAAAUACUUUUAUCCGCAUUAAUCAUAGUUUUCGAACAGUUUUUUUGGGGGUAAAUUUCACUGACCUCCCUCAGAUUUUUGACAAAUACAGUUAUCUCCUCUAUAAUUUGAAAAAUAUCAAUGACCUCACUUACAUUUGAAACUAAUUUCAAGAUUUCUUCUAGAGACAAAAAUAAUAAACUUAUCUAAUUCUUUUUGAUUUAGGACUUUUAAUUUUUUUUUCUUAACACACAUUAAAAUAAAUAAACAUUCUCUUUGUUUCAAAAAAAUAAUAAUUAAAAAUUUUAUUUUUUAAGUAUAUUUAGACUAUGAGCACUUAAAAGUAAAAUAUUUAGAUCAUUUUUUUUAAAAAAAUUAUUAACAAAGUUAUAUUUAUUUUAAUGGGUAUAUUGAAAAAUUCCUUUUGAAAGCCCUAAAUCAAAGAAUUAGUUUCGAAAAUAAGAAAAAUCAGUUUUAUUUUUGAAAACAAAGAAGUAGUUGUACUUGUCAAAAAAAUUUAAGUAACAGUAAAAUUUAUCCUCUUUUUUCUUUAAGUAUUCGAACCCUUCUGUUUGGUAAUAAAAUCAUCCCAGAAUAGUCAAUGAAGAAGAAGAAGAACAAUAAGUCAGAUUCCCCAGAUCCACAAACAGGUUUAUUUUUCAUAAAACUUGGAAACAGAAAUUAUAAAACGAAAGGCUUUCAGCUUAUCAUACCAAUUUCUGAAGCAACAAACUAUGGGGAAAAACCACACACUAAAUCGUACGCCCUUAAUUCUUCAUUCAAAUAUGAAAAUUAACUUAAUUGUCCUAUCACAUGCAUGGAAGUCCCAAAGGCGAAAAUUGUCCCUCAAAGUUGAGGAUGAGGAAGCUGAUCGUUGUGAAACUACGACCUAAAGCGUCCAGCUCCUCAACGGCAUCUGCAAGGGCCUCUCGCCACGAUAAAAGGC